rnacentral:lncRNA from 1 species
ACGAACGCCCCCAAAACCCAAACUCCAAAACCCAAAAUUCCAACGAACGCCCCCAAAACCCAAACUCCAAAACCCCAAUGAAUGAUCCCAAGGUAGAAACUCCAACGAACAAUCCUACGGUAGAAACUCCAACACCCAAAAUUGCAAUAAACACCCUAAAACCCAAACUCCAAAACACAAACUUCCAAUGAACAAUCCCAACGUAGAAACUCCAGUGAACGACCCCAAGGUAGAGACUCCAAAGCCCAGAAUUGCAACAAACACCCCCAAAACCCAAACCCCAAAACCCAAAACCCCAAUGAACAAUCCCAAGGUAGAAACUCCAAAACCUAAAAUUCCAACUAACGCCCCCAAAACCCAAAACCCAAAACCCCAACGAACACCCCCAAAACCCAGACUCCAAAACCCAAAAUUCCAAUGAACGAUCCCAAGGUAGAACCUCCAAAACCCAAACUCCAAACCCCAAAAUUCCAACGAACGCCCCCAAAACCCAAAAUUCUAAUGAACAUUCCCAAGGUAGAAACUCCAGUGAACGAUCCCAAUGUAGAAACUCCCAAACCCAAAAUUCCCACAAACGCCCCCAAAACCCAAACCCCAAAACCCCAUCAAACAAUCCCAAGGUAGAAACUCCAACACCCAAAACUCCAACGAACGCCCCCAAAACCCAAACUCCAAAACCCAAACUUCCAACGAACAAUCCCAGAGUAGAAACUCCAAAACCCAAAAUUCCAACAAACGCCACCAAAACUGCAACGAACGCCCCCAAAACCCAAACUCCAAAACCCCAACGAACGAUCCCAAGGUAGAAACUCCAAUGAUCCCAAGGUAGAAACUCCAAAACCCAAAACUCCAACAAACACCCCCAGACUCCAAAACCCAAAAUUCCAAUGAACAAUCCCAAGGUAGAAACCCCAAAUCCCAAGGUAGAAACUCCAAAAUUCCAACGAACGCCCCCAAAACCCAAACUCCAAAACCCCAAAGAACGAUGCCAAGGUAGAAACUCCAAAACCCAAGGUAGAAACUCCAACGAUCCCAAGGUAGAAACUCCAAAACCCAAAAUUCCAACGAACACCCCCAAAUCCCAAACCCCAAUGAACAAUCCCAAGGUAGAAACUCCAAAACCCAAAAUUCCAACAAACACCCCCAAACUCCAAAACCCAAACUUCCAAUGAACAAUCCCAAGGUCGAAACUCCAAACCCCAAAACCUCAAUGAACAAUCCCAAGGUAGAACCUCCAAAACCCAAACUCCAAAACCCAAAAUUCCAAUGACCGAUCCCAAGGUAGAAACUCCAAAACCCAAAACUCCAACGAACGCCCCCAAAACCCGAAAUUCCAAUGAACAAUCCCAAGGUAGA